rnacentral:rRNA from 1 species
GAUAGGUUAAGUUAAUAAGGGCGCAUGGUGGAUGCCUUGGCACUAGAAGGCGAUGAAGGACGUGACUAACUACGAUAUGCCUCGGUUAGCUGUAAGUAAGCUUACCCGGGGGUUUCCGAAUGGGGCAACCCGAUCUUAAUGAUCAUCAUCUUUUUGAAUUCAUAGAUUAGAUGAAGCAAACGCUGUGAACUGAAACAUCUAAGUAGCAGUAGGAAAGUAAAGAAAUUUCGAUUCCGUCAGUAGCGGCGAGCGAACGCGGAAGAGCCCAAACCUGGAUGCUUGCAUCCAGGGGUUGUAGGACUGAUGUUGAGUUACAAAGGUAUAAGAUAGCAGAAACAGUUGGGAAGCUGUUCCAAAGAGGGUGACAGGCCCGUAUGCGAAAUCUUGUACUCUCUAAUCAGGAUCCUGAGUACGGCCCAGCACGUGAAAUUGGGUCGGAAUCUGGGAGGACCAUCUCCCAAGGCUAAAUACUAACUAGUGACCGAUAGCGAACAAGUACCGUGAGGGAAAGGUGAAAAGAACCCCGGAAGGGGAGUGAAAUAGUUCUUGAAACCGUGUGCUUACAAGAAGUUCGAGGCCGUUAAUGGCUGAGAGCGUGCUUUUUGUAGAAUGAACCGGAGAGUUACGAUUGCGUGCAAGGUUAAGGUGCAAAGACUGGAGCCGUAGCGAAAGCGAGUCUUAAU